UGUGGGAGCGGGCUUGCUCGCGAUGAGGGCAGCACAUUCAGCAUCAAUGUUGACUGAUCCACCGCUUUCGCGAGCAAGCCCGCUCCCACC
rnacentral:misc_RNA from 2 species